rnacentral:rRNA from 1 species
AAGCAUAUCAAUAAGCGGAGGAAAAGAAACCAACAGGGAUUGCCCUAGUAACGGCGAGUGAAGCGGCAACAGCUCAAAUUUGAAAUCUGGCUCUCUUUGGGGGUCCGAGUUCAAAUUUGCAGAGGAUGCUUUGGCAUUGGCGGCGGUCUAAGUUCCUUGGAACAGGACAUCGCAGAGGGUGAGAAUCCCGUACGUGGGCGCCUGCCUUUGCCGUGUAAAGCUCCUUCGACGAGUCGAGUUGUUUGGGAAUGCAGCUCUAAAUGGGAGGUAAAUUUCUUCUAAAGCUAAAUACCGGCCAGAGACCGAUAGCGCACAAGUAGAGUGAUCGAAAGAUGAAAAGUACUUUGGAAAGAGAGUCAAAAAGCACGUGAAAUUGUUGAAAGGGAAGCGCUUGCAGCCAGACUUGCCCGCAGUUGCUCACCUAGGCUUUGGCCUGGGGCACUCUUCUGCGGGCAGGCCAGCAUCAGUUUGGGCGGUCGGACAAAGGCCUCUGUCAAGUAUCUCCCUUCGGGGUGACCUUAUAGGGGAGGCGUAAUGCGACCAGCCCGGACUGAGGUCCGCGCAUCUGCUAGGAUGCUGGCGUAAUGGCUGUAAGCGGCCCGUCUUGAAACACGGACCAAGGAGUCUAACAUCUAUGCGAGUGUUUGGGUGUCAAGCCCGGGCGCGCAAUGAAAGUGAACGGAGGUGGGAACCCUUUGGGUGCACCAUCGACCGAUCCUGAUGUCUUCGGAUGGAUUUGAGUAAGAGCAUAGCUGUUGGGACCCGAAAGAUGGUGAACUAUGCUUGAAUAGGGUGAAGCCAGAGGAAACUCUGGUGGAGGCUCGCAGCGGUUCUGACGUGCAAAUCGAUCGUCAAAUUUGGGCAUAGGGGCGAAAGACUAAUCGAACCAUCUAGUAGCUGGUUCCUGC